rnacentral:rRNA from 1 species
GAUGAACGCUGGCGGCGUGCCUAAUACAUGCAAGUCGAGCGAACGGACGAGAAGCUUGCUUCUCUGAUGUUAGCGGCGGACGGGUGAGUAACACGUGGAUAACCUACCUAUAAGACUGGGAUAACUUCGGGAAACCGUAGCUAAUACCGGAUAAUAUUUUGAACCGCAUGGUUCAAAAGUGAAAGACGGUCUUGCUGUCACUUAUAGAUGGAUCCGCGCUGCAUUAGCUAGUUGGUAAGGUAACGGCUUACCAAGGCAACGAUGCAUAGCCGACCUGAGAGGGUGAUCGGCCACACUGGAACUGAGACACGGGCCAGACUCCUACGGGAGGCAGCAGUAGGGAAUCUACCGCAAUGGGCGAAAGCCUGACGGAGCAACGCCGCGUGAGUGAUGAAGGUCUUCGGAUCGUAAAACUCUGUUAUUAGGGAAGAACAUAUGUGUAAGUAACUGUGCACAUCUUGACGGUACCUAAUCAGAAAGCCACGGCUAA